rnacentral:rRNA from 1 species
GACGAACGCUGGCGGCGUGCUUAACACAUGCAAGUCGAACGGAAAGGCCCUGCUUGCAGGGUACUCGAGUGGCGAACGGGUGAGUAACACGUGGGUGAUCUGCCCUGCACUUCGGGAUAAGCUUGGGAAACUGGGUCUAAUACCGGAUAGGAGCCAUCUUUAGUGUGGUGGUUGGAAAGUUUUUUCGGUGUAGGAUGAGCUCGCGGCCUAUCAGCUUGUUGGUGGGGUAAUGGCCUACCAAGGCGGCGACGGGUAGCCGGCCUGAGAGGGUGUACGGCCACACUAGGACUGUGCUACGGCCCAGACUCCUGCAGGGCGCAGCAGUGGGGAAUAUUCCACAAUGGGCGCAAGCCUGAUGCAGCGACGCCGCGUGGUGGAUGAAGGCCUUCGGGUUGUAAACUCCUUUCGCUAGUGACGAAGCGUUGUUGUGACGGUACCUAGAUAAGAAGCACCGGCUAACUACGUG